UCACCUCGAACGCGCUUCGGCGCGGUGGUCUUGAGGCGUCUGAGAGACUGCCUUCGUCCGGUUUGAGCGUUCGUUCGAUCGCUCGUUCUCUGCCGAUUGCAGUGCCUUUCAGUCCCUUGAAAUGCAGUGGCCGAACGUUGUGCCGGAGCAUGGCCUUGGGUCGGUUCGCCCCGGUUCUGCUCGCACGGCUGA
rnacentral:tmRNA from 1 species